UACGUAGGGUGCGAGCGUUAAUCGGAAUUACUGGGCGUAAAGCGUGCGCAGGCGGCUUGCCAAGUCAGAUGUGAAAGCCCCGGGCUUAACCUGGGAACGGCGUUUGAAACUGGCAGGCUAGAGUUUGGCAGAGGGGGGUGGAAUUCCACGUGUAGCAGUGAAAUGCGUAGAGAUGUGGAGGAACACCGAUGGCGAAGGCAGCCCCCUGGGCCAAAACUGACGCUCAGGCACGAAAGCGUGGGGAGCAAACAGG
rnacentral:rRNA from 1 species